GCUUGUCUCAAAGAUUAAGCCAUGCAUGUCUAAGUAUAACUCUUUUACUUUGAAAACUGCGAACGGCUCAUUAUAUCAGUUAUAGUUUCUUUGAUAGUCCCUUACUACUUGGAUACCCGUAGUAAUUCUAGAGCUAAUACAUGCAUCAAUACCCAACUGUUCGCGGAAGGGUAGUAUUUAUUAGAUAAAAAACCAACGCCCUUCGGGGCUCCUUGGUGAAUCAUAAUAACUUAACGAAUCGCAUGGCCUUGCGCCGGCGAUGGUUCAUUCAAAUUUCUGCCCUAUCAACUUUCGAUGGUAGGAUAGUGGCCUACCAUGGUGGCAACGGGUAACGGGGAAUUAGGGUUCGAUUCCGGAGAGGGAGCCUGAGAAACGGCUACCACAUCCAAGGAAGGCAGCAGG
rnacentral:rRNA from 1 species